CACUUGUCAGGCACAUGUGGGAUAAGUUUGAAGAAGCUUGUUCUCUUCUAAUAAAUCCAAUGUGUUUGUUUGCUGCAGAUUGCUAUCUCUGCAAGAACUUCAUAUUUUUGGGCCUAUUAGUGAUUAUGUGGAUGGACUUGAAAGAUGCGUGUAAUGCAGCAGAAGAAACAUGUGGAAAAGUGGUUGUUUCCAAAUCAUCUAUCAUAAUGCUCGUUUUAUUCUUCUACUCAUUAUUGUUCUGAUUGUGUAGUUAUCAUUGUUGUUUGCUUGCUUGGGUCCUGUCAUUAUAUUUUCUUGAAUGCCUUUUCUCCUGAGGAAACAAAAUGGAGAUCUUUCAAGAGCUGAGGGGAUCUUACACUCAGUGCCUAAAAGCGAGAUUUGGAGAAACUGUCUCAGGGCACUGAUGGUUUGCUACAGCAACCGUGCUGCACCACCAUGAAGGGAGAGGCGCUUUUGAUGCUUGAGAAGUAUGAAUCAUCAAUAAAGCUUUGUAAGCAGACAAUGGAUUUGUACCUCGUCUUUGCCAACAUGCUCUGCUUCAGAUAUCAGGAAGGCAUAUAGGGAGGCUGCACUCAAACAUCAUCCCGACAAGGCUGCUGGUCAGUCUUUGACAAGAAAGGAGACUAAAGAUGAGAGGUUAUGGAAGGAGGAGAUAGAAGGAUGGAGUUCACGUAGAUACUCCCGUCGUAAUUGUAAAUAUUAUCUCCAAGAUAUCUCCUAUGCAAAUACUCCAGGCUGAUACCGCGCGGAUAAAAUUAUGAGAAUAUAUACACGUCACACGAUUAUAAACAUGGAAAGACUUGGGAUGCAAACAAUUUUCUUUCGUAAUGGAGAAAGAGGAGAGUUCUCUCUAUUGUAGGCCUCUCUCGUUUGUUGUUUCACUCUUUUGAUUGUACAUUCUUUCAGUUCAUUGAGUUUUGAAAAGAACAGAAUAGAAGAAGCUAGGUUUGAUUUUGCAUUUCAGACUUAUUUGACUCUCUGUUGAAGUUUUUAAAUUGUUUUUUUUUGCAAUUUUUUUAUUUAUAUGUGUUGAAUUAAUAUAUAAAUAUUAAUACCCA